AAUCAACGCUGGCGGCGCGCUUAACACAUGCAAGUCGAACGAGAAAGGCGGAGCAAUCCGCUGAGUACAGUGGCGUACGGGUGAGUAACACGUGGGUUACCUGCCCUCUGGUGGGGAAUAACCCUGGGAAACCGGGGCUAAUACCGCAUAAGCCCGCAAGGGCAAAGCCGAAAGGCGCCGGAGGAGGGGCCCGCGGCCGAUUAGCUAGUUGGUAGGGUAACGGCCUACCAAGGCUUUGAUCGGUAGCCGGCCUGAGAGGGCACACGGCCACACUGGCACUGAAACACGGGCCAGACUCCUACGGGUGGCAG
rnacentral:rRNA from 1 species